GUUAGCAUUUUUCUUGUAGUAAUAAACAUAUGUAAUACGUACUAUAGUGGUAUAAAGAUAAAAAAAAAAAAAAAAAAAAAAAAAAAAAAAAGCUAUAUAAAUAAACAACUGAAUAGCCAGUUGCAUGACCCCUCUUCUCUUCUCUUUUUUUUUUUUUUUUUUUUUUCUUUUUUAUACCACUGUCCAUACAAUGCAAAAUAACCUUAUUAUAUCAUUGAAUAAUGCUAAAGAUUACUUAAAAAAGAGAAACGAAAAUGGGAACUCUGUUUAUGAUCAUAUAUGUGAAUUGAUCAAUUUUAUUAUUGUAGAAAAGCCAGACAACUGUUAUGAUAAAUUUGAAUUAAUAUCAAAUCAUGUAAAAGAAAAUAAUAAAAUUAAUAAAAAGUCGAAUGUUAAUAACACAUUAUUUAACGAAAUGGAUUGGAAAAAUUAUAAUUUAGAUAAUUAUAUUAUACGUGAAUAUAUAAAAAGGAAAAAACAAUGGCUUCAGAAAAUAAAAUAUUUAAUAGCCAAAAAUUAUAACACUAGCAGUGCUAUAGCUAUUGUUGAUAAUGUAGAAAAACCGUUAAAUUUACCUUUUAUACAAAAUUUUUAUGAACAAGUCAGGCUAAUUAAUUGGGCUGGUUAUCAAAUUGAAAAUGAUCUAAUAUUUUACAUUAACAACUCUAUAAAAAGUAUAUCAAACAAAUAUAAAGAACAUUUAGUUUCUUUAUCAUUUUGGGGCAUAAUAAAAGGGAUAGAAAAUGAUUAUUAUAUUUUGGAAGCAGAAUUAAAAAAUGAAAAUGAUUCGUUUUUUUUAAAAAAAAAAAAAAAGAAGAAAACAGAUUCGCAAUCUGGUAGUAGUGUUAGUGAAAAUGAAGAUGAAGAUGCUUCUCAUGUAAGUGGUGAUGAUGAAACUGAAUGUGACGUUAGUACUAGUGAGAGUGAAAGUGAAAGUGAAAGUGGGGGUGAGGAUGAUAGCGGAAGUGAAAGUAAGAGUAGUGGCGAAAGUGAAAGUAAGAGUAGUAGCGAAAGUGAGAGUAAGAGUAGUAACGAAAGUGAGAGUGAUAGUGGUGGCGAAAGUGGCAAUGAGAGUAGUCAGGGUAGCGGCAGUAACAGCGACAGUAGCAACAAAAAAAAAAAAAAAAAAAGUAAAAAUAAAAAAAUACCUAAACCGUACAUUGAAAAUAAUAUUUAUGAUAAAUUAAAAUAUAAAAAAGAAGAUUAUUACUAUUUUAACUAUCAAAUAAAAAAAUAUAUAUACUGGGUGUCAAUCAACGGAAUCGGAACAUGGCAGAGGUUAAAAAAUACAACGCCUCAUUAUAUUGACAUAUCUAACGGUAUUAAUAAAAUGUUUAUAGGGAAAUUAAAUCAACUAGUAACAUCAUAUCCAAAUAUUGCCAUAAAAGAAAAACAUUAUCUUCGGGCUACCAUUUCAAUCAUUUCGUCACAUACUCAUAUAUCGCCUGAACAGUAUUAUAUUUUCAAAAAAGAUAAAAAUAAACAUAAAAAAGGUAAAAAAAAAAAACACAACAAAAAUGUUGAUUCAGACGAAGAAGAUGACGAAAAUGAGGAUGACGAUGAG
rnacentral:lncRNA from 1 species